CUUGUCCGUGGGGUGUCUGGUAGGUUUUUGUUGUCAGUUGGUAGCGGUAAUGACACGCAGUGCGACAAGCAGAUAAAGAAACCUAACCAGCUUUUGGGGGGUGAUGCACCUCUAAACAGGCCACGGGGAUAUGGAAAA